UACGUAGGGGGCUAGCGUUGUCCGGAAUCAUUGGGCGUAAAGAGCGUGUAGGCGGCCCGGUAAGUCCGCUGUAAAAGUCAAAGGCUCAACCUUUGAAUGUCAGUGGAUACUGCCGGGCUAGAGUCCGGAAGAGGCGAGUGGAACUCCUGGUGUAGCGGUGGAAUGCGCAGAUAUCAGGAGGAACACCCGUAGCGAAGGCGGCACUCUGGGCCGAUACUGACACUGAGGAGCGAAAGCGUGGGGAGCGAACAGG
rnacentral:rRNA from 1 species